rnacentral:rRNA from 1 species
AGAGUUUGAUCCUGGCUCAGAACGAACGCUGGCGGCGCGUCUUAAACAUGCAAGUCGAACGUGAACCCUAGUGCUUGCAUUGGGGGGAAAGUGGCGAACGGGUGAGUAACACGUGGAUAAUCUACCUCCGGGUUGGGGAUAACCGGCCGAAAGGUUGGCUAAUACCGAAUAAGAUGAUAGUUACCUAGGUAGCAGUCAUUAAAGGUGGGGACCUUCGGGCCCACUGCCGGGAGAUGAGUCCGCGGCCCAUUAGCUUGUUGGUGGGGUAACGGCCUACCAAGGCGACGAUGGGUAGCCGGCCUGAGAGGGUGUACGGCCACAUUGGGACUGAGACACGGCCCAGACUCCUACGGGAGGCAGCAGUUAAGAAUCUUGCGCAAUGGGCGCAAGCCUGACGCAGCGACGCCGCGUGGGCGAUGAAGGCCUUCGGGUUGUAAAGUCCAGUAAGCAGGGAAGAAUAAGUUUCGGAUAAUACUCGAAAUGAUGACGGUACCUGCCUAAAGCCCCGGCUAACUACGUGCCAGCAGCCGCGGUAAUACGUAUGGGGCUAGCGUUGUUCGGAAUUAUUGGGCGUAAAGGGUGUCUAGGCGGGGGAUUAAGUAAGGUGUGAAAGCCAUGGGCUCAACCCAUGAAUUGCAUCUUAAACUGAUUCUCUUGAGUUAGGGAGAGGAGAGCGGAAUUCCAGGUGUAGCGGUGAAAUGCGUAGAUAUCUGGAAGAACACCAGUGGCGAAGGCGGCUCUCUGGCCUAUAACUGACGCUGAAGCACGAAAGCGUGGGGAGCGAACGGGAUUAGAUACCCUGGUAGUCC